AAUCAGUUAUGGUUCCUUAGAUCGUUCAUACUACAUGGAUAACUGUGGUAAUUCUAGAGCUAAUACAUGCAAAAAGCUCCGACCGUAUGGGAAGAGCGCUUUUAUUAGACCAAAACCAAUGGGGUCGCAAGACUCCUUUGUAUGGUGACUCUGGAUAACUUUGUGCUGAUCGCAUGGCCUAGAGCCGGCGACGUAUCUUUCAAGUGUCUGCCCUAUCAACUUUCGAUGGUAAGCGAUUUGCCUACCAUGGUUGUAACGGGUAACGGGGAAUCAGGGUUCGAUUCCGGAGAGGGAGCAUGAGAAAUGGCUACCACAUCUACGGAAGGCAGCAGGCGCGCAAAUUACCCACUCCUAGAACGGGGAGGUAGUGACGAAAAAUAACAAUACCGGACUCAAUGAGGCUCGGUAAUUGAAAUGAGUACAGUUUAAAACCCUUAACGAGGAUCUAUUGGAGGGCAAGUCUGGUGCCAGCAGCCGCGGUAAUUCCAGCUCCAAUAGCGUAUAUUAAAGUUGUUGCAGUUAAAAAGCUCGUAGUUGGAUCUCGGGUACUAGCAUGUGGUACGCUUAAUUGCUGUUACUACAUGUCUGGUCCUAAUCAACCGGUUGGCCGUUGAUGUCCUUUAUUGGGUGUUUUCGGUAGCCGGUACGUUUACUUUGAGAAAAUUAGAGUGCUUAAAGCAGGCCUUACGCCUGAAUAAUGUUGCAUGGAAUAAUAGAAUAGGACCUCGGUUCUAUUUUGUUGGUUUUGUAGAGCAUUGAGGUAAUGAUUAAUAGGGACAGACGGGGGCAUUCGUAUUGCGGUGUUAGAGGUGAAAUUCUUGGAUCGCCGC
rnacentral:rRNA from 2 species